rnacentral:rRNA from 1 species
ACGCUCGACACCUACGGGAGGCAGCAGUGGGGAAUAUUGCACAAUGGGGGAAACCCUGAUGCAGCGACGCCGCGUGAGCGAAGAAGUAUUUCGGUAUGUAAAGCUCUAUCAGCAGGGAAGAAGAAAGACGGUACCUGACUAAGAAGCCCCGGCUAACUACGUGCCAUCAGCCGCGGUAAUCUGAGCGGGCUGGCAAGGC